GGAAAGUAAUUUGAAAUUCAAAUUUCAAAUCUUUAAGAGAAUUCAAAAUUCAAAAUCAAGAUUCAGCUCAUUAAGGAGAGUGCUAAAUAAGGAAAGUGCAGUCAACAGAGCAAUUGGAAAUUCAAGAUCUCCAAGAAUCCUUUUCCUUAUUGAAGAAGCCAAAUCUUUAGAAGAUGCACAUUCAAAUUUGAAAUUCAAAUUCAGCUUGUCAAAGAAGUCAAAGAAGUCACACAUGCCACCUCAAGUCUUGCACAUUCAAAAUUCAAAAUUCAAAAGGAGGCUC
rnacentral:lncRNA from 1 species